rnacentral:rRNA from 1 species
CCUACGGGUGGCAGCAGUGAGGAAUAUUCGACAAUGGGCGCAAGCCUGAACCAGCCACGCAGCGUGAAGGAUGAAUGCCCUAGGGGUUGUAAACUUCUUUUAUAGAGGAGAAAAGUGAGGCUCGUGUACCUUUUUGUAUGUACUUUAUGAAUAAGGAACGGCUAAAUCCGGGCCAGCAGCCGCGGUAAUACGGAGGAUACGAGCGUUAUCCGGAUUUAUUGGGUUUAAAGGGAGCGUAGAUGGGUUGUUAAGUUAGUUGUGAAAGUUUGCGGCUCAACCGUAGAAUUGCAAUUGAUACUGGCAGCCUAGAGUACAGUUGAGGUAGGCGGAAUUCGUGGUGUAGCGGUGAAAUGCUUAGAUAUCACGAAGAACACCGAUUGCGAAGGCAGCCUACUAAACUGCCACUGACAUUGAUGCACGAAAGUGUGGGGAGCAAACAGGAUUAGAUACCCUAGUAGUC